rnacentral:rRNA from 1 species
AAAGUUGAGGGAUGUGGAGAAAUCUACACCUUUAAAAUACAUACUGAGUAAUCUUUGGGAUGCAGUACUAGUUGGUGAACGUCUAUAACCCUAGUGCACUCAGGUUCAGUGUAGAUUAUUGCAUUGAUAAUAUAUGUUCUUGUGUCCAAAUG